AUUCAAGUGCAACGCUUUUCGGACACGCCUACUGAAAAUACGUCACUACCAUAGAGGAAUUUUGCGGCUACUCCUGACCUGCCGCAAACUCUUAACAGCGACUGUAAACAAGAUGGCUGAAGUGAUUUUGCUCAGACGUUUAAGAAAUCGGAGAAAUGCUGAUCGAAUUCCUUGGCAUUUAAGAGACAGUCGUAAUGCUUUUGAAAUGUCGGAGCGUGAAUUCAUCAGUUGAUUCAGAUUAAAUCGGUUUGCUUCAAUGAAUUGAAACCUUUUCUGAAGGCAACUGCCAAUGGAUAUUCUCUGCAAAAGCAGGUAUGGAAUGCUGGUCUGAGGGUUCUCUAUGCUAUAGGACAAUGGCCAGGCAAUACUCAUGAUGCAUUUAUAUGGAGUGGACUGAAACAAAAUCUAGAUAGUAUUUUGUCGCAUCGUGCAUAUCUUUGGGAGAUAGUGGAUUAUAUUCCCAUUUUAUCACGGGAAUAUCUCUAUAAUGAGAAGCACAGAAAAGUUCGUGCAGCUAUAGAGAUCAAAUCAAGAUUUAGGGUACUGCACGAUACUGGUGGAACACUAUUGUAUUCACAAAGCAAAAUAUGUAAAAUGGUCAUAUCUGGUGGCCAUUUUACAUAAUAUAUGCUUAAGGUAUUGUGUUGAAAAUCCUGAGAUUGAUGUGUUUGAAGAUGAUGAGUUGGUACCUUCAGAAAGUUUUCAGUCAGUGCAUGUUGAAAUUGCAUUGCACAAUGAAUUAUCUUUAAAUUUUGAAACUCGAUAAUAAAAACCCAAAGUGGGCAACAAUGAACCUCUGGCAAAGGUGAAACCCCCUUCAUGGAUAAUAAAGAAUAUAUUAUGAAAAAAAUUACUUUCAUAAUAUAUUCUUGGGGACCCACAAGCCAUGGUUUAUAUUUAAACCUGUAACUAAAUGCACAACCCUAAAUGAUUUUAAUUGAUAAUAAUAAUCCUAAAUAAUUUUAUUAGUCCUGGUUUCAAAUGCAUACUGACAACUUUUAUCAUUAUUGUUCUUCCCUCUGAAUUUCUUGUUUCCAUCAUUUAUGUUUAAAAACUCUUGACUACCAGAAAUAACUUAAUAGGCUUGAUAUAUAUAUAUUUUAGUGUUGGUAUGCCAGUCAUGAUUUACAAUAGUAAGUCACUAUAAAUUAGCAUUGCACUUAAUUUAUCUUAAACUUAGCAAUAAGAUUUACUGCACCGAAAUUCAGUUUCUUCCAAAAAGUCAAAUGUUUCCCUUUCGUCCCCUUCCGUGGGACAAGAUAGAAAAUUUCCAUGUGACAAUACACAUUUAAUAGCAUAAGAACUUCAUGCUUAUUUAUUAUAGUAUAAAUUAAAACAAUUAUUUCACUCUAUACUGUUUAUGUAUUAUGUUUACUCUAUACUGUUUAUGUCUUCUUGGGGGUGGGCAAAACAAAUAUUGGACAGUUCAAUUUUCCUCCACCAUUCCUGUGAGCGUAUUCUUCGAUUAAGCAGGGUUUUGCUCCAAUUCCUGAUUAGCAUAAUAUGUAAAGAAUAAACAGCCUAUGAUUUAUGCCUCCAUAUCCUCUUGUAUUAUUUAAAGAACAUACAUUUUUCUUUUAAUUCUAGAUUUUAAAACAUUAAAGUAAGGGAAAGAUUGUUUGCUGAAUUUAGAUUUAUAUCAUCAUUACGCAUUCACUAUAAUAACUUACUGCAUACUUACCUCAGUGGGUUUGCCAUUAAAAGAAAUACAUUUAAGUAAAAUCAUGAGUGUAUAAUAAAUUGUUUUUCAGCCAAAAAAAAAA
rnacentral:lncRNA from 1 species